rnacentral:rRNA from 1 species
CAAUCGAACCCGGAGAUAGCUGGUUCUCCCCGAAAUAGCUUUAGGGCUAGCGUCGGAAUGAACCUUAGUGAAGGUAGAGCACUGAAUGUGUGAUGGCCCCAUCCCGGGGUACUGAAUACAAUCAAACUGCGAAUGUCAUUAAGGAUGUCCGGCAGUCAGACUGUGAGUGAUAAGGUCCAUGGUCAAGAGGGAAACAGCCCAGACCGCCAGUUAAGGUCCCAAAAUACAGGCUAAGUGGAAAAGGAUGUGGGGAUGCCCAGACAACUAGGAGGUUGGCUCAGAAGCAGCCAUCCUUUAAAGAGUGCGUAACAGCUCACUAGUCGAGUGACCCUGCGCCGAAAAUGUACCGGGGCUAAGCCAGGUACCGAAGCUGCGGAUAUUCCUAGAAUAUGGUAGGGGAGCGUUGCAUGUGGGGUGAAGCCGUAUCGUGAGGAGCGGUGGACAGCAUGGAAGUGAGAAUGCCGGUGUGAGUAGCGAGAUGUAGGUGAGAAUCCUACACACCGAAAGCCCAAGGAUUCCAGGGGAAGGUUCGUCCGCCCUGGGUAAGUCGGGACCUAACGCGAGGCCGAGAGGCGUAGUGGAUGGAAAACAGGCAGAUAUUCCUGUACCCGUAUAUGGAGCGAAGGAGGAACGGAGAAGGCUAGCAUGACCCUCUUAAUGGAUUGAGGGCGAAGCGAGAUAACUGGUGACCAGGCAAAUCCGGUCACUGCAAGGUGAAGACGUAACAGGUAAGUGAAAGAGCGAUCGAGUAGCGAAGCAUGUGAUGCCAGCUUCCAAGAAAAGCUUCUAGCAAUGCAUAUACGGCCCGUACCAAAACCGACACAGGUGGGCAGGGAGAGUAUCCCGAGGUGAGCGAGAGAACUGUUGCCAAGGAACUCGGCAAAAUGGCUCCGUAAGUUAGCAAGAAGGAGCGCUCGAAAGAGCCGCAGUGAAAAGGCCCAAGCGACUGUUUAACUAAAACAUAGCUCUCUGCGAAGCCGCAAGGCGAAGUAUAGGGGGUGACACCUGCCCGGUGCUGGAAGGUUAAGAGGAUCUGUGAAUCGCAAGAGGAAGCAGUGAGUUGAAGCCCCAGUGAACGGCGGCCGUAACUAUAACGGUCCUAAGGUAGCGAAAUUCCUUGUCAGGUAAGUUCUGACCCGCACGAAAGGUGUAACGAUUUGGGCGCUGUCUCGGCAGCAGACUCGGUGAAAUCUUAGUACCUGUGAAAAUGCAGGUUACCCGCAACUAGACGGAAAGACCCCAUGGAGCUUUACUGUAGCUUGAUAUUGAACUUUGGUCGUACCUGUACAGGAUAGGUGGGAGACAUAGAGACGUGCACGCCAGUGUACGAGGAGUCGACGUUGGGAUACCACUCUUGUGCGAUCGGAGUUCUAACCCAGGUCCAUGAAACUGGAUCGGGGACCGUGUCAGGCAGGCAGUUUGACUGGGGCGGUCGCCUCCCAAAGAGUAACGGAGGCGCCCAAAGGUACGCUCAGAUUGGAUGGAAACCAAUCAUUGAGUGCAAUUGCAGAAGCGUGCUUGACUGUGAGACAAACAAGUCGAACAGGGACGAAAGUCGGGAAUAGUGAUCCGGCGGUGCCGAAUGGAAGGGCCGUCGCUCAACGGAUAAAAGCUACCCUGGGGAUAACAGGCUGAUCUCCCCCAAGAGUUCACAUCGACGGGGAGGUUUGGCACCUCGAUGUCGGCUCAUCGCAUCCUGGAGCGGAAGUACGUUCCAAGGGUUGGGCUGUUCGCCCAUUAAAGCGGUACGCGAGCUGGGUUCAGAACGUCGUGAGACAGUUCGGUCCCUAUCUGUUGUGGGCGUUGGAGAUUUGAGGAGAGCUGUCCUUAGUACGAGAGGACCGGGAUGGACCUACCACUGGUGCACCAGUUGUUCUGCCAAGAGCAUAGCUGGGUAGCUAAGUAGGGAAAGGAUAAGCGCUGAAAGCAUCUAAGCACGAAACCUACUCCAAGAUGAGAUCUCCCAACAAGUAAGACCCCUUAAAGACGAUAAGGUAGAUAGGCCAGAGAUGGAAGUGUAGAGAUACAUGGAGUUGACUGGUACUAAUCGGUCGAGGACUUAAUCAA